UACGUCCGUCGUUAAUCCAUUCAU
rnacentral:piRNA from 1 species